ACACUCCUGCGGGAGGCAGCAGUGGGGAAUCUUGCGCAAUGGGCGAAAGCCUGACGCAGCCAUGCCGCGUGAAUGAUGAAGGUCUUAGGAUUGUAAAAUUCUUUCACCGGGGACGAUAAUGACGGUACCCGGAGAAGAAGCCCCGGCUAACUUCGUGCCAGCAGCCGCGGUAAUACGAAGGGGGCUAGCGUUGCUCGGAAUUACUGGGCGUAAAGGGAGCGUAGGCGGACAUUUAAGUCAGGGGUGAAAUCCCGGGGCUCAACCUCGGAAUUGCCUUUGAUACUGGGUGUCUUGAGUAUGAGAGAGGUGUGUGGAACUCCGAGUGUAGAGGUGAAAUUCGUAGAUAUUCGGAAGAACACCAGUGGCGGAGGCGACACACUGGCUCAUUACUUACGCUGAGGCUCGAAAGCGUGGGGAGCAAACAGGAUUAGAUACCCUAGUAGUCCCAUGAU
rnacentral:rRNA from 1 species